AUGUCAGAUGGGGUGGUUAUUCGGUCUGCGUCUUAUCAUGAUUUAUUGUCAGAUUGCCAAGAAUUUAGAUAUCUUGUAAAUGACCAUAAAGAUACUACUGGUGUUUCAGAUCUUAACAAUAUGGCCCAUCACAGAGCAAAGGAUUUGCCAAUAAAGGAGACAGAUGGUAUUCAUGGAAACAGAUAUAUAGAGUCUGUGAAGCCAUCACCAGUAGAUCAACUGAUCAAAACAGAGGAAAGAGAAUCAGGGGACGCAGGUCUUAAGCCUUAUAUCCUAUACCUGCGCCAGAAAAAAGGCUUCCUGUAUGCGUCCCUUUCUGUCAUGUCUCACAUAAUUUUCAUAGCUGGGCAAAUAUCACAGAAUUCAUGGAUGGCCGCUAAUGUCCAAAAUCCUGAUGUUAGUGCACUAAAGUUAAUUUCUGUGUACAUUGUUAUUGGAGUUUGCACGGUGUUCUUUGUGCUAUCAAGAUCUAUAUUCUUCGUUGUUCUUGGGAUGCAGACUUCAAGAUCCUUAUUUUCCCAGCUACUUAAUUCAUUGUUCCGUGCACCAAUGUCCGUCUUUGAUUCUACUCCUCUAGGCAGGGUUCUUAGCCAGGUAAAAAUUCUCAAACAAACACAACUAUAUGAACUACAAUUCAGUUUAACGUUACAAGGUUUUAUAUUAAUAGAUCAACCCUCCCCCCAACCUGCAGGUCUCUUCAGAUUUAAGCAUCAUUGA
rnacentral:rRNA from 1 species